UGCCAGCCGCCGCGGUAAUACGGAGGGAGCGAGCGUUAAUCGGAAUUACUGGGCGUAAAGCGCGCGUAGGCGGCUUUGUAAGUCGGAUGUGAAAGCCCAGGGCUCAACCCUGGAAUUGCAUUCGAUACCGCAUGGCUAGAGUAUGGUAGAGGGAAGUGGAAUUUCCGGUGUAGCGGUGAAAUGCGUAGAUAUCGGAAGGAACACCAGUGGCGAAGGCGGCUCCCUGGCCAAAGACUGACGCUCAUGUGCGAAAGUGUGGGUAGCGAACAGGAUUAGAUA
rnacentral:rRNA from 1 species